rnacentral:rRNA from 1 species
UAUCAAUGGCAUCACGAGGAUCCCACUGUCUCCCCCCUCCAAUCAGUGAAACUGAUCUCUCCGUGAAGAAGCGGGGAUAUUUACAUAAGACGAGAAGACCCCAUGGAGCUUUAAACCCGAUGUCACCCAUUUUCCUCUACACCCUAAUAUUCAAUUUGGCCCUGCCCUGUCGGUUUUAGGUUGGGGUGACCACGGAGUAUAAUAUACCCUCCAUGAAAAAGGGAGUAAUAAUCCUUAUUAGAGAA